UGGUGUGGUUACUGGGACCACUUCACAAAGCUGAUUCUGUCUCGGUAUGUGAUUUUGGAGGCUAGCCUGCGACUGCACAUGACCCCUUUGCGACAUGUCUUGGUUGCCAGUGCCUUGGACAUUGUUGAAGCUGUAGGUCGGCUCUGGGUAGUUUGAUUGUGGGUAUAGUGCCUCAUGAUGGAAUCCAGGGUCCCGCGGCCGCUCGUAGUAUUCAGGAGAUUGGCUUGGCAAUGGUGUAUGCAUCGUUUUCUUCUGACCACGUAACUUGGCUGUAAAUAACGCUGUUGAGUAAUUAUCUGGACCAAUUCAGACGGUGUACUCUGCUGCAUGAUGAACUCCGACAUGCGGAGGACUGCUGUAUUGUAAUCUCUAGCCAAAGAAAGCGAGGAACCUAAAUAAAAUAAUUCGAU